UACUGCACAGAGCAGCUUCUCUGUGGAGAUGAUCUAAAUGGGUCACGCCUGGCCAAAAAUAUACUGGAGUUGUCACUUCAAUCUAGCAAAAUCCUGGAUUUGGAGCAAGACUUUGGAUAUCCAGAUCUGAUGAAACAAUGUGGAUGUUAAAAGUUGAAUUUGGUGACCAUGUUUCAGGAGCAACAGAAAACAAGAUGGUUCCAUCUUCAAUGUGAUAUCCUUUCAAAUAUUUAAACACAACUAUCAUGUCUUCUCUUCUCCAAGCUAAACAUACCUACCUCCCUGAGCCACUCCUCAUAGGGCUUGGCUUCCAGACCACUAACUAUUUUGGUUGCCAUUCUCUGGACAUGUUCCAUCUUGUCAAUAUCCUUCUUGAAUUGUGAUGCCCAGAACUGGACAUAAUAUUCCAGAGCCUGAUGGAGAGCAGCUGAGAUGAAGGACACGUGAGUUAUCCUGCCCUGAGAUCUUAUUGCAGCAUCCCUUUGAAAAUAUAGCCAAGAAACCACUAUACUGUUGCACUGUAACUUCAUUUCAUUUUGUCUAAUCUUCAGACUCGGUUGACCUGGAUCAGAAUGGAUCAGGGCCUUGGAACUGUUACAGAGGGUCACUAUUUUUCCAAAUGUCUUGAGCUAGUCUUGCAUCCAACUUCAUGUAAGGUUUUUAAAUUGAUAAUUUUGAUUAAACAUGUUCUAGUACAUUAAAAGAUUAAAAACACAAGAGUAAACAAAAAAGCAGAAAGAAAAAAUUUACAUUUGACUUGCAACUUUCCUAACAAUGAUUAUUUGUAACUAUAUUAAAUAAUUUCUCCAAUUAUUACCAUUCAUAUAGAUAUGGCUCCCAUAUCUGCAGUAUAUGUGGUUUCAUUGAUGUUGCUGCAUCUUUCCACUUCUGGUUAUACAAUAAUCUUGCAGCAGUGGUCCUAUUUCAUAUUAAUUUCCUAUCUUCUCCAUCUGAUCAUCCACAAAACUCAGCAAAAACAGUUCAGGUUUCAAUUGAACAUAGACUUUUAACAGUUUUUUGUAUCAUUCAACGCAUUUGAGUCCAGAUUUUAUUUUAUUUUUGGCAAUCCUACAAGUCCACCACACAGGACAAAAAAGAUCUGCCAAUCUGUUUCUCACACUUCCAGCAGAGAUUGGAAACAUCUCUAUGUAUUUUGGCAAAUUCUUCUGGUGUCAAAUACCAUCAAUACUUCAUCUUAUAAAAAUUCUCCUUAAGAACACAGCAUCGUUAAUUCCAAUCCCUAUGACAUUUCCCCCAUUGUUCCAUCUGUGUAAUAUGCCUAAAACUCUGAGCAUGUUUUAUCACACAGUCUUUAGCUUCAUCCUUUUCCAAUUUAAUUUUAACGAAAGU